AAACCCUGAGCACCGUCUGGCUAAGGCGUUGCUGUAGAGACCGUGCGCCGAGUCCCGCCCCCGAGGCGGGAUUGGAGGAGAACUGGUCAGCUGACAAGGGUGGCGUUUCGAAAGCGCGCGGUAGGCCGUGCUGGGACUCAGAGCCCGAAAACUGAUUUGAGGGGCGUCUUGACCGAAGGUGACCAGCUCCUGGAGACGCAAUGGAGAACCUGAAUGUCCCCUCGCUCCCCUGGAGUCUGUAUGCUGAGGAAGGGGCUACAGACAAUAGCCAUGCACUCACCCAAAUAAGACAUUCUUCAUGAAUUGUGACUGUGAAACUGCAUUGCAAACAGUGGUCUCAGCUACUAAGGAGUAACAAACAGCUCUUUCAUCUGGAAGAACUGUGUGCAAAGGAAGGAGUGAGGAGAGAAGGGACACCCGGAACCUGAAGAACCUGUGACUUGGAUGCACAGCCUCUAAGUAAUCCCAAGUGAACCGUGUGAACCUGCAGUCAGUGUCUAUGGCCACGAGGCAGAACACACAAACACCAGGCCUCAAGAUUCUCACCAAGAUCGUGUCAUGAGACAGGACCUCGCCGCCCAGCCCCCGCCUCCCAAUAACAGGAUUACGAGGCUCAGUGCGGUUACUGCUGGCACAGCGAGCCACAGAUGUAGCCAGGACUGGGUGCCAAUCGACGGAUUCCCAAUAUUGUCUUCCAGUUGCUAGACUACGCUGCUUUCCAGUACAUUAUUUGGAAUAUAAAAACUAAAAUGAUGAGCACAGGCAGGCCUCGCGGCUGCCUGGAGGGAGCUGUAAGCAAAGGAAGGUGAAGUGGCCUGAAGAAAUGUCUGCACUGGAGACAGUUGGGGCUGUGCGCCUCUGCCUGACGCAACAUCUUUUCAGACAUGGAGGAAGGAUCUGUUGGCAGAUCUUUGGACUCAAAUGGGCUGGACUUCUAAGAAAAGAUAUACCCAGGCCUCUCUAUUCCACCAAUUUUCAUUCUUUCAUACAUACAUACAUAUUUAUUUAUUUAAACAGACUUUAUGUUUUAGGCAGUUUUAGUUCACAGCAAAUUUGAGCAGAAAAUGCAGAGGUGCCAUAGACUUCCUUACCCAGCAUACCCAGGGCCUCCUGCUCUGUCAACACCCUGCAGCCGAUUCAUCUUCAGUCGAUGAAACGAUAUUCACACAUCAUUAUCACCCAAAGUCCAUCAUCGACAUUACAGACUCUUGGUGUCGUACAUUCUGUGGGUUUUGACAAAUGUACAGUGACGUGUACCUGCCAUUGCGGUGUCAUACAGAAUAAUUUCGGUGCCUGAUAAUCCUCCGUGCUCCGCCUGCUAACCCCUCCCUCCCCCAACCCCUGGUCCCCAAGGCUUUGCUUUUUCCAGAGUGUCACAUAGUUGGAAUGGUAUGGAACAUAGCCUUUUCAGAGUGGCUUCUUUCACUUAAUAAUAUGCAUUUACGUUUCCUCCAUGUUUUUUAACGGCUUGAUAGCUCAUUUCCACUGAAUAAUAUUCCAUGGUCUAGAUGUAGCCAUUUUCAUAUAUUUUUAAGAAGACAGACUCUUUCAUGGGGUGACAUAAUUUGUUAAUAACUAGUAUUAUAAUUAAACUUACAAUAAAAGAAAUGCAUGGCUUAAA
ensembl:lncRNA